CACGUAGGAGGCGAGCGUUGUCCGGAAUCAUUGGGCGUAAAGAGCGCGCAGGCGGCUUGGCAAGUCGGGUGUGAAAUCCCGGGGCUCAACCCCGUGACUGCAUUCGAUACUGUCAGGCUAGAGGUAGGUAGGGGAGAUCGGAAUUCCUGGUGUGGCGGUGAAAUGCGCAGAUAUCAGGAGGAACACCGGUGGCGAAGGCGGAUCUCUGGGCCUUACCUGACGCUCAGGCGCGAAAGCUAGGGGAGCGAACAGG
rnacentral:rRNA from 1 species